rnacentral:rRNA from 1 species
UACGUAGGGUGCAAGCGUUGUCCGGAAUUAUUGGGCGUAAAGAGCUCGUAGGCGGUUCGUCGCGUCGGCUGUGAAAUCCCGAGGCUCAACCUCGGGUCUGCAGUCGAUACGGGCGGACUGGAGUUCGGCAGGGGAGACUGGAAUUCCUGGUGUAGCGGUGAAAUGCGCAGAUAUCAGGAGGAACACCGGUGGCGAAGGCGGGUCUCUGGACCGAUACUGACGCUGAGGCGCGAAAGCGUGGGGAGCAAACAGG